rnacentral:rRNA from 1 species
UCAGUUCAGAUUGCAGGCUGCAACCCACCUGCAUGAAGUCGGAAUUGCUAGUAAUCGCGGAUCAGCAUGCCGCGGUGAAUACGUUCCCGGGCCUUGUACACACCGCCCGUCACACCAUGGGAGCCGGUAAUACCCGAAGUCAGUAGUCCAACCUCGUGAGGACGCUGCCGAAGGUAGGAUUGGCGACUGGGGUGAAGUCGUAACAAGGUAGC